rfam:Ornithorhynchus anatinus chromosome 12, whole genome shotgun sequence.
AGCAGCUUGGUUUAGUGGGUAGAGCACGGACCUGGGAGUCAGAAGGACCUGGGUUCUAAUCCCUGUGCUGCCA